CUGCCAGCAGGUCAACGGAGGUGAUCCUGCUCCUCUACUCAGCCCUAGUGGAGCCACAUCUGUAGUGCUGUCUGCAGUUCUGGGCUCCUCAGGGCAAAAGAGACACGAAGCUCCUGGUAGAGGUCCAGCAGCAGGCUAUGAAAAUUAUUAAGGGACAGGAGCAUCUCUCUUAUGAGGAAAGGCUGAGGGAGCUGGGCCUGUUCAGCCUUAGAAGAGAAAACUAAGAGGGGACCUCACUGAUGUCUAUAAGUAUCUGAAGGGAAGGUGUCAAGAGGAUGGAGCCAGGCUCUUCCCAGUGGUGCCAAGCAACAAGAGGCAAUGGGCAGAAACUAAUGCACAAGUUCCACCUGAACAUGAAGAAGAACUUCUUUAUUGUGAGACUGACUGAGCAUUGAAACAGAUUCCCCAGAGAUUGUGGAGUCUCCUUCCCUGGAGACAUUCAGAAGCCACCUGGACACACUCCUGAGUAACAUGCUCUAGGGGACCCUGCUUGAACAGAGAGGUUGGACUAGAUGACCUCCAGUGGUCCCUUCCCACCUGAACCAUACUGUGAUUCUGUGAUUCCAAACCCACAGUCUCAAGCUCUGCUGGCUCAAGGCUGAGUACUGCCUCAGAGCAGGAAGGUGGAGUGUCACCCUGAUCCAGUCUUGUCUCAUGAUUUUCUUGCAAAAUACAGUUCUUUUGCAGUUGUGUAGCUCCAGAUAGCCCCAGGUCUUCCAUCACACAUUACAAGGUAUACUGCAACCUGUAACAAAAAGACAACUACUUAAUACACAGGAUUUCCUUUCUAUGAUUGAUAGGCUAUCAGAUCUCCAUUCUGUGUUUGAAGGAGUUGCAGCAUAUCUAAUAGAGGAUUUUCCACACUUUUGAAAAGAACUGGAGCCAUUUGUGAACCACACUGAAUAACCUGUGGCACGAAGUCGAUAGCAGAGCUUUUAUCCAGUGAGAGACACAUAAACAGGACUUCAGCUGUCUGUGAUCCAAGACACAGUUGUGUCACCAUCUCUCAGACUUGUGAGGAAAUUGCUAAAUUCUGAGCAAGAACUACAAAGAAAUUGAUAAAGGGGACUUCUGCAAGAUGGGUCGUGUUUUCCUGGAUUAGACUUAGAAGAUUGGAAAAGAAGCAAAAGAGUAAAACAAUCCUUUGGUGUUAUUUGGUUUCUUUGUCACUGUGUAUUCAAGAAUGGACUCAUCCUUAAGUGGAACAGUUACUUGGAGCAUUCAGCAACACCUCUAAUAAGGGAGCUAUUUUCAAUAAAUUUAAAAUGCAUUCUGAAGAUGAAAAGAACUAUACUGCAGAUGGAAAUAUUCAUGAUGUUGCCAACCAGGGUCAUGAAUCUGAAGACAAACAAAAGAAAAAGAAGAAGCAGAAGAAAGGGGAAAAACCUAAGGUGGUCAGCCCGUUUGCUCUGUUUCGAUACUCCACUUGGUCAGAUAAAUUGUUAAUGAUACUGGGCACUAUUCUGGCAGUAGCCCAUGGAAGCUCUCUCCCUAUUUCGAUGAUAAUUUUUGGUGAUAUGACUGACAGCUUUGUUGCUUCUGGAGACUUAAAUUUUACAGGUAAGAAUAUAUCUGCUGUGCUGAGAACAAUGGCUUGUAUUUAAAAAGAGAUGGGAAGAUUCAGGCAUCUUGACAGGACAUACUGAUGUCAGAAACCCCUGUGCUAUACUAUCACAUGAAUUAGUAAGUUAUGUUCAUUGUAAUAGACAUACACUAUAUUUUGGGGGAUUUUUAUUGUAUU